CACGUAGGAGGCGAGCGUUGUCCGGAAUCAUUGGGCGUAAAGAGCGCGCAGGCGGCUUGGCAAGUCGGGUGUGAAAUCCCGGGGCUCAACCCCGGGACUGCAUUCGAUACUGUCAGGCUAGAGGUAGGUAGGGGAGAUCGGAAUUCCUGGUGUAGCGGUGAAAUGCGCAGAUAUCAGGAGGAACACCGGUGGCGAAGGCGGCUCGCUGGGCCGGUCCUGACACUGAGGCGCGAAGGCGUGGGGAGCGAACGGG
rnacentral:rRNA from 1 species